rnacentral:snoRNA from 1 species
AAUUCCUUUAUGAAUUUAACUGUUCAACUUCUGCGACACAUAAUAGAAAUAGGGUCUGAGGCAA